rnacentral:lncRNA from 1 species
GGCACAGAGCAGGCAGCGAGAGGCCCUAGCCACAGGGCAGGGGAGCAGCAGAGCCAGGAUCCAAGCCUCGAGGGUCUCCAGCCUUCCCCUCUGUCCUCCAGCCCCUCAGAAAAGAGCUGUGGUGGAGCAGGGCCCAGCAGGUGCAGAGUCCACCCAAUGGCCUGGAAAUGUGGUUAAAAGAGAACAAAGAAGUGAAAGAAACUAGCAAAAAGCGGUGGCCGAGUUUAUUCAAGAAAGUAAAAGUGAAAAGUGGGGAAGAAACUAGCUCUGCAGUGCAAGCUUGAGCUGAGUAAAAGGAAAAAGGAAGAUAAAGGAAUGCCCUGGAGGAAGCAGGGCAAACUAUUGUGAGGAAAGCCAACAUAGCAAGUUGUUCUUGGCGUCUGUGUCCUUUGUACUGUCCAAAUCUCAGGGAAACCUUCAAGGACUUCUACAUACUGGUCCUGAGAGGCAG